rnacentral:rRNA from 1 species
AUGUGUGCAGGUGAUAUGCGACCACCUUGGGCUAGGAGUCAAGACGGGGCUGCCCUACAUCUGGAACAGCAAGGCCAGCAACCUAAUCGUGAACCUGAAGAAGGAGUACAAGGGCAUCUUCUGGCAGGAGGACAUCAUCCCCUUCUUCCAGAUCGCAAAACUGACAAGGAAUGCGACACCGUGCAGAAGUGCUACAUCUCGCUCUCGCAGCAGGUCAAGGAGAAGCUCAGCAAGAUCGACCCCUACUUCAUCAAGCUCGCCGACGCCAUGGUCACCUGGAUUGAGGCCCGGGACAUGCUCAACUCCAAGGAGGCCGACGCCAACGGCAAGCUCAAGGGGAAGUAG